CAAGUUGAACUUCCUGUGAAAAUUAAAAAAUGUUUUAAUCAAACCAUUCCAAGCAGCUCCAACCCCUUGGAAUAUUAAGGAGACAGCAAGAGCACAUAAGUAACAGGCAGAUGAGACAUUCUGAGGCCACGUUUCACCAGAAAUAUCACAAGGCAUUCUGAGGCCACAUUUUGUCAAGUGGACUAUCACAAGCAUAUUGCAGCACAUUUGAAAAUAAGAGACAGGGCUCUUGCAGAGGAUGAAGUUUGGCACAGAGUCCUUCAUGCUCUGUACCGUGUUUCUUGAACUGAGAAACCUCCAGCCUUUGCCACUUAGAAGACUCCUGAGAGUAGCCUUCCACCUGCUCCAGGCACUGAUGAGUUAUGGCUAGUAAACGCCCAACAAAAGAAGAAUAAAUCACUGUUGCUGUCUCUUAAGUUACCCCAGCAACUACAGUGAGCAGGCUAAAAAUAUGAAUGAACAGAUUAAUGAUAAUAGCAAAUCCAAGAAGACCCACUAGCCAAGUGGAAAAUACAAGCAAAACACAUUGAUCAGGCAACUCCUAAUGAAACAGAACAGCUAAGGGGAGAGAGUACACUGGAAAAAAAAAAUAGUAAAAGCACUAAAGAAGAUUCAACUGUAACGCAAAUAAAACUUCUGGAACUGAAGAAACAAAUACAAAGCUAACAGAAAGCCAAGACUUGGGAACCAAACAACAACAACAAAAUCAAUAUUCGAAGGAUAGGUUAGUCACCUUUAUUAGUGGUUUGGAAUAACAAGUAGAAGAAAUAACUCAAAAUGGACCAAAAUAUAAAGAUAUUAAAAUUGGGAUUAAAAAAAAAAGACAGAAAGAAGAUGAGAUACAAAUAACUUUCAAGAGGAGAAAAAGAAACAGAUGGAGAACAACAAUUAAGGAAAUGAUAGAACGUGUUUUUCUCAUAUAAUAAAAGUCUUGAGUCUGCAGAUUGAUAAUGUUCAUUAAGUACUAGCAAAGGUUGAUAAAUGCAGUUAUUUCCUGAUUAAAUUCCUGAAUGUACAGGCUUCCAGACAGAAAUAGCAAGUUAUUUAUAGUGAUAGUUAUUAGAACUGUUUAUGUAUAUUUUAAUUCUCCUGUUAGGCACAUGGAAGAUUUAAACAUUUUCAGCCCUUUUGAAGUUAGACUGAUUAUGUGACUUUCUUUGUCCAAUAAAAUAUAAACAGAAGUGAUGAGUGACAGAUCUAGCUGGAAGCUUUAAAAACCAGUGCAUAACUUGCUACACUCCCAUCCUUUCGUUGUGGUGAUUUUGGAACCCUGUGUUAAAGCUUCCAUCAGUCUGCAUCCCUAUGAUAAGAAGGGCCCCUGCCAACCCGCAUACUUAUCCACAUAGAUACUUAGAAAGAGUGUGUAAACAUGUACUGCAUUAAGGUUUGGUAAUGUGGCAAAAUCUAGCCAAUUCUGUCAGAGCAAUGGAAAUUAGAUAGUGGUGGAAUAACAUCUGCAAACUACCAAGAAAAUAGUCUUUACCCAGUCAUCAGGGAGUUAAAAGCCAAAUGCAAGAACCUGAUUCCUUGAUAAAACAUACAGAUAAUGGAUUUUUCCCUCUAAAUAUCAGCUUAUGUAUGCACAAAAUUGCAUAAACUCUAUAUAAGGCUGUGAAAUGUGCUUUCCCUUUUUAACUUGGAAUUAGAUUGUUAUUUUAAAUAGAAUUCGGAGAGAUACAAAGGGAAAGUUCAAAGCAAGAAAUUAUCUUACUUUCAUUUAAGAUGUCUGCUAUCGGAGUUGCCCUAUUAACCAAUGCAUCCUUUAAUUUACAAAUCUGGCAAUUGAUGCUCUUAUA